GCACGUGGGGGACCCCAGCCACUGGGAGGGCAGCCCAGCCGGGUGACAAAUAUGUCUCCAAGGGGCAGCUGGCAGCUGUGGAUGCUCAGAAGUGGCAUAGGAGGCAGUGUACUGUCACCAUGAGCAGACCCAGACAGGCAGCCUGGAAGGAAAGGAUGGGGUGAGGGCUGCUCGUGGGAGAGGGUGACCCAGACUGAAGGUGUCGUCCACGAGGCUGGGCGGGAGCAGCAGCAGUCAGGGCUGGCCCAGCCUGGAACUCCAAAGCCAGGCUCCAGGCCAUCAGGCCGACACUCUCUAAGACACGUGCAGCCUCCAGUUCCGCUGAGGUGUCCCCUAGGAUUCGAACCUCUCCAGUGCUCAGGGCAGAAUAACCCAGCACUGGGUCCGGAGUCUAUGCUGGGCCCUUUCAUUUAUUUGUUGGCUCACAGACUCAAAAGCAGCUGUUGACUUUCCAGCCCACUCUGACAUGUGCAAGCUCUCUC
rnacentral:lncRNA from 1 species